GGGGACGACAUGGUAUCGACGGGCUUGAUGGGAUCAAGUGUAAGCAUGCAGUGGGUUGCAAUGGAACCACUCUAAUCCUCUGUUGUGACUUUUUAACUGGCGAAAACAACUACGCUCUCGCAGCCUAAUUAGAUUAGGAUGCUAGAUGUCCUCGGUGCGGAAUCUAUUUGCCGGCCGCAUAAAUGAGGGCACGGAACCAGGCAUUUUGCUGGGUCUGCUCACCGCGACAGACUCCUAUAGACUAGCGGUACCCUCAUCAGGUAAUGCUCUGUCACGUGAGUGAUCUGAUGAAAAUAAUACGUGAAUAAGCAUGUAGAAAGCUCGAUUGCCGCUGGUUCCGGACGCGGGUUCGACUCCCGCCGUCUCCACAA
rnacentral:tmRNA from 1 species